AGCUCCAUUAGCGUAUAUUAAAGUUGUUGCAGUUAAAAAGCUCGUAGUUGGAUUUAUGUGCUAGCGAGUCGGUCGGUCGCAAGGCUUGUUUACUGAUUCGCUUGUGCUUUUUCUCCGAGACCUCUUGUACACUUUACUGGGUGCAGGUGUGUAUUGGAGACGUUUACUUUGAAAAAAUUAGAGUGUUUAAAGCAGGCGUUUGUCAUGAAUACAUUAGCAUGGAAUAAUAAUAUAGGACUUCGGUUCUAUUUUGUUGGUUUCUAGGACUCAAGUAAUGAUUGAUAGGGAUAGUUGGGGGUGCUAGUAUUCAGCGGCCAGAGGUGAAAUUCUUGGAUUCGUGGAAGACGAACUACUGCGAAAGCAUUUACCAAGGAUGUUUUCAUUAAUCAAGAACGAAAGU
rnacentral:rRNA from 1 species